UACGAGGGGGCAAGCGUUGUUCGGAAUUAUUGGGCGUAAAGGGCGCGUAGGCGGUGUCGCAAGUCCGUGGUGAAAUCUCUAGGCUCAACUUAGAGACUGCCGCGGAAACUGCGGUGCUUGAGUGUGGGAGAGGUGCGUGGAAUUCCCAGUGUAGAGGUGAAAUUCGUAGAUAUUGGGAAGAACACCGGUGGCGAAGGCGGCGAACCUGG
rnacentral:rRNA from 1 species